rnacentral:rRNA from 1 species
UACAGAGGUCCCGAGCGUUGUUCGGAUUCACUGGGCGUAAAGGGUGCGUAGGUGGCAUGGUAAGUUGAUGUGAAAGCUCAGGGCUCAACCCUGAAAUGGCAUUGAAUACUACUGUGCUGGAGGUUUGGAGGGGGGACUUGGAAUUCUUGGUGGUAGCAGUGAAAUGCGUAGAUAUCAAGAGGAACACCAGUGGCGAAGGCGGCAUCCUGGACCGACAUUGACGCUGAGGCGCGAAAGCCAGGGAGCAAACGGG